GAUGAACGCUAGCGGCAGGCUUAAUACAUGCAAGUCGUGGGGCAGCAUGAGUAGCAAUACUUGAUGGCGACCGGCAAACGGGUGAGGAACACGUACACAACCUUCCUUCAAGCGGGGAAUAGCCCAGAGAAAUUUGGAUUAAUACCCCAUAAUAUAUUUGAUAAGGCAUCUUAUUAAUAUUAAAAGCUUCGGCACUUGAUGAUGGGUGUGCGGCUGAUUAGAUAGUUGGCGGGUAACGGCCCACCAAGUCUACGAUCAGUAGCUGAUGUGAGAGCAUGAUCAGCCACACGGGCACUGAGACACGGGCCCGACUCCUACGGGAGGCAGCAGUAAGGAAUAUUGGACAAUGGACGAAAGUCUGAUCCAGCCAUGCCGCGUGAAGGAUUAAGGUCCUCUGGAUUGUAAACUUCUUUAUA
rnacentral:rRNA from 1 species